UACGAAGGGGGCUAGCGUUGCUCGGAAUCACUGGGCGUAAAGCGCACGUAGGCGGCUUUUUAAGUCAGAGGUGAAAUCCUGGAGCUCAACUCCAGAACUGCCUUUGAUACUGGCAAUCUCGAGUCCGGGAGAGGUGAGUGGAACUGCGAGUGUAGAGGUGAAAUUCGUAGAUAUUCGCAAGAACACCAGUGGCGAAGGCGGCUCACUGGCCCGGUACUGACGCUGAGGUGCGAAAGCGUGGGGAGCAAACAGG
rnacentral:rRNA from 1 species